UUAGACGACCGAGUUGUUUUUGUUAGACAGCACUGCGGUAGAUACUUACGGACGUGGAGGGUUUUAUCCAUCCAAACCUUUUCAAAUGGGCCCCGUCGCCUAGCGUUUUCUCCCCAAAGCCUCCGACUGAAUUGAGUAGGGUGCUCUAAUAACAUCUGCAAGAGCGGCAAAAGAAGGGUUUCCAUCUAAGUCACUAUUUACACAAGUCUGUAAAAUGGCAGCCAUCCCAUCUAGUGGUUCCCUUGUUGCUACUCACGACUACUACAGAAGGCGCAUUGGCUCUACAUCCAGUAGCAGCUCGUGU